rnacentral:lncRNA from 1 species
AGUCAACUUUGCUCCUGCUGAUUGGCUUCCUCAUGGAGGUUCCGGUGCGGAUCUUUAUAAACUUUAUCGUAAAUCUCCUGUUUUAUCUCACGAGGAGCUUAUCUGUGUUGUAGCCAAGGCCUUUCCUCACUUUUUAUAUAUUCUUUUUAGUUUACAGAGAUAAAUUGUGUGACCUUCAGUUCUCAUUUUUUUUGAAAAUUCCAUAUUUCAGUCAUUUUAUAACUGUUCACUGCAAGAAUUAUCAUAGAGUAAUAAGAAAUGAUUUAUACUUUGUGCCUUUGAAAUUUGGCUGCCUUGUUUAGAUAAUUAUGGUUGGAUCAUAGUCCUUGAUUACCAGUACCAUUGCUUUUUUUGCACAAGGCUUAGUAGUAUCAGUGUCUAACUGAAAAAAUCCAAUUGAAAUCAGAGUUGAAGACUUCUUAAUAUCAUACAAGUAUACAUCAAAGAGACCUAGCCAUCUCCUGAAAGAAUGGAGGCCCAAUAUAUAGCAGAAAUAUCCUUUCCUGCUGUUAACAGAAUGCAUAUGAGAAAAUUUCAAGAAUCCUGCCCUUUCUUGUGUAUCAGUCAAGAGAUGAGAUAAGUGUGCUCAGAUAAGAUGUAAUGACGGGAUGAAGAGUGACAAUUAUUUGCAAUCCAGUUAAUCUGCUAGACCCCUUUCAUUAAUUCAAGCCUGUAGUCUGGACAUAGAAGUCGGGACCUGGGGAAUUUGUUAAAGUUAUGAAAAGGAAAUGUUUAGAUCUAGAAUACAACGAAUGGAAUAGUAUGCAAAACGUAAUCAGAGUAACAAGCUGAGUGUAUUUUAUUGAGGUUAUGUCAAAUGUGGCUUUAUGGUUCUGGAUGUAUUUUCCCGGCCAUUUCAUAUGUAUGCUGUUGCCAAAAGUUAGGAAGGCAAAGGUUGAUCAGUGGCAUUGUAUUUAGAUUUUCUAUUAAUUUUGUUAGAAAUUGAUUGGUUCUACAACAGGUUACUUAUCUAUUACAAAUAUGUAUUAAGUUCGUACCUAUAUGGGUACUUCUCUCAUAUUUUUUGGAAAAUGGCCCUGUGUUCAAAUUUGUCGUGUAUUAUCAUUAAGGUGAAGGUGAUGGUCAAAGUUGAAUCUGAUACGAGUCAUAUGACGAGCAGACUGUAUGGAAGAUAGCAGAUUUUGUCGAUGUUUUCUGGUUCAUCAAGCAAUUUAAAGAUGAAUUUGCAAGUGAUAGUGUCGUGAAUAAUAAAAUGGAAAUUGGCUGAUCGCUCCGCUUUUGACACACUUCUCAUAACUAGCCAUAAACUCCACUGCAUCAGUCAUCACCAACAACCAGCACUAUCAUUCUUUAUAAUCAUGUUAGACACUGUAAUUAGUUUUGUGGUUAAGGCAUAUGUUUGACCAAUUUUAUCUCGCUUGCAGACUGAAUUUGAUAGCAAAGUAACACCUUACCUAAUGAAGGAAUUGCUCCGUGUUUACAAUAAAGAGAAAAGUUGGAGAGAUGACUUUGGAGAAAUGGCAUUGUGCGGUCUUCCUUAAUGUCGCC